CUCCAGAACUUUGAUUUCAUGUUUCAGCCCCUCAUACUCCACCUGCAGCGCAGCAGGAAGGAUAGCAGUCACGCAACUGGACCCACUGCAUGCAUUAGACAGAAAGGAUGUGAUCCAGGUGGAGGAUCAGCGCUGGGCUGAAGCUGCAGAACCAUCAGCAGACUGAGACCAGAGGAACUAAAACGAAGCAGCUGCUUCUUCUCCAAACUGAUGACCAGUCAGCCAGGAUCAUAUUUCCUCAUGGGGAACAAAGUGUUGAUGAUCAUCUUUGUGACCUGGCUCUGCUUGAGCGUGGAGACCAGCUUCUGCAGGGUGAUGUUCUCCUCCUCCAG